rnacentral:rRNA from 1 species
AAUGCCCUACGGGAGGCAGCAGUGAGGAAUAUUGGUCAAUGGGCGCGAGCCUGAACCAGCCAAGUCGCGUGAGGGAAGACGGUCCUAUGGAUUGUAAACCUCUUUUGUCGGGGAGCAAAAGACGCCACGUGUGGCGUUCCGAGAGUACCCGAAGAAGAAGCAACGGCUAACUCCGUGCCAGCAGCCGCGGUAAUACGGAGGAUGCGAGCGUUAUCCGGAUUUAUUGGGUUUAAAGGGUGCGCAGGCGGAAGAUCAAGUCAGCGGUAAAAUUGAGAGGCGCAACCUCU